rnacentral:tRNA from 1 species
GCCGGGGUGGUGGAAUCGCAGACACGUCGGCCUCAAAAGCCGAUGGGGGAAACCCCGUGCGGGUUCAAAUCCCGCCCCCGGCACCA